GACACGGCCCAGACUCCUACGGGAGGCAGCAGUGGGGAAUAUUGGACAAUGGGCGAAAGCCUGAUCCAGCCAUACCGCGUGUGUGAAGAAGGCCCUAGGGUUGUAAAGCACUUUAAGUUGGGAAGAAAAGUUAUUGGUUAAUACCCAAUGACCGUGACAUUACCAUCAGAAUAAGGACCGGCUAAUUCCGUGCCAGCAGCCGCGGUAAUACGGAAGGUCCAAGCGUUAAUCGGAAUUACUGGGCGUAAAGCGCGCGUAGGUGGUUUAUUAAGUUGGGUGUGAAAUCCCCGGGCUCAACCUGGGAACUGCAUCCAAAACUGAUUCACUAGAGUACGAUAGAGGGAGGUAGAAUUCACAGUGUAGCGGUGGAAUGCGUAGAUAUUGUGAAGAAUACCAAUGGCGAAGGCAGCCUCCUGGAUCUGUACUGACACUGAGGUGCGAAAGCGUGGGUAGCGAACAGGAUUAGAUACCCUGGUAGUCCACGCCGUAAACGAUGACAACUAGCUGUUGGGAGGCAUUGCCUUUCAGUGGCGCAGCUAACGUUUUAAGUUGUCCGCCUGGGGAGUACGGCCGCAAGGCUAAAACUCAAAUGAAUUGACGGGGACCCGCACAAGCGGUGGAGCAUGUGGUUUAAUUCGAUGCAACGCGAAAAACCUUACCUACUCUUGACAUACUUGGAAGCUCUUGUAAUGAGAGUGUGCCUUUUGGAACCAAGAUACAGGUGCUGCAUGGCUGUCGUCAGCUCGUGUCGUGAGAUGUUCCGUUAAGUCGGAUAACGAGCGCAACCCUUACCCUUAUUUGCCAGCGAUUCGGUCGGGAACUAUAAGGGGACUGCCGGUGAUAAACCGGAGGAAGGUGAGGACGACGUCAAGUCAUCAUGGCCCUUACG
rnacentral:rRNA from 1 species